rnacentral:rRNA from 1 species
AUUGAACGCUGGCGGCAGGCCUAACACAUGCAAGUCGAGCGAGCGGCGGACGGGUGAGUAAUGCCUGGGAAUUGCCCAGCCGAGGGGGAUAACAGUUGGAAACGACUGCUAAUACCGCAUACGAUUGGAUUGCCCAGGUGGGAUUAGCUAGUUGGUGAGGUAAUGGCUCACCAAGGCGACGAUCCCUAGCUGGUCUGAGAGGAUGAUCAGCCACGCUGGAACGGAGACACGGUCCAGACUCCUACGGGAGGCAGCGGUGGGGAAUAUUGCACAAUGGGGGAAACCCUAGGGAAGCCAUGCCGCGUGUGUGAGGAAGGCCUUCGGAUUGUAGAGCACUUUCAGCGAGGAGGCGUUACGCGCAGAAGAAGCACCGGCUAACUCCGUGCCAGGAGCCGCGGUAAUAC